rnacentral:lncRNA from 1 species
CCCUUCCCAGCGCUGGAGAGCGGCUCCUCUUCAUCUUCAUCAUCCUCUUCCUCCUCCUUGUGUUACUGCCAGCAGGAAAACCCCUCCUCAUCUGUCCCUCCAAGCACACCUCACUCAGCCACAGCCCUGCAAAAAGUCUUUUUUUACAUUGAUCAGCGAAUUUACAACAAAAUGCUCUGAUUUGAGGGUGGGAAAAAUAAAUAUUAAAGGCCAGCUUGAGGCUCUGGCAGAGCUCGGGGUUGGUUUCCUCUGGUGACACUUUCACUGCCACUGCAGCAGCAGCAGGGACAGGGAGCCCUGGCUCGGGCAGGAUGCUGGGGUUGUGUUCUCGUUCUGUUUUUGCAGCCUUGUUCAGCACCUCCUGCUGGCUCCACUCGCAGCCCCCAGACCCCCAGCACCUGGCAGAAAAUCACUCGAGGGUUUCAAUUCCUUCCCCGAGGCUGCAGAUCCCAGCUUUGAUUCUCCCAGCACUUCCCAGGUUUUUCCUUCUCUCCACAAUUAAGGCCAAAAAAAGCUGCAAACCUGCCAGGAACCAACAGAUUCCUCCGGAGCCCGGUGCAGUUUUGAGCUGCAUUUUCCUUUUUCCUGCGGCUGAAAUUCACCCACCUGGCAGCAGAUGGCCCAAAACCCUCCCGCAUUUCCCCUCGGAAUUCAGAUUUUCCCCGGAGUUAUUUCACUCUCAGCUCUGCAUGUGUGGAGCUGAAGCCACAACUUUCAAACCAAAUUUAUUUUUCCAACACAUCUUUCUUAAUCUAGAUUUUAAUUAUUUUUUAUUUUUUUAAUCUUUCAAGCCAGCUGUUUGAAAUUCUUGACCUGCAGCUCUGUUUUCCACUAAAAUUAAUUUAUGUGAUGAACACAAACCCCACAGCUUUCAACCAAAUGGAGGGAUGCACCUGAAACUUCGUGGAAAUAAAUUCAAAUAAACCAGGAAUAAAACA